ensembl:snoRNA
UAGCCUGAAGUGAUGAGCUUGGUUCAUGUCUCUUCUCUGAGAAUUAUGCUGGAGAUACUCCAUAGACUCUGAUCAGGCAC